rnacentral:tRNA from 1 species
GCGCUCGUAGCUCAGUGGAUAGAGCUCCCGCCUUCUAAGCGGAAAGUCGCUGGUUCGAAUCCAGCCGGGCGCG